rnacentral:tRNA from 1 species
GCGAUAUUGGUGAAGUGGUUAACACGCUUGUCUGUGGAACAAGUAUGCAUGAGUUCGAUCCUCAUAUAUCGCC